GGGGGUACCGCUCAGUGGUAGAGUGCAUGCUUGGCGUGCACAAGUUCCUGGGUUCAAUCCUCAGUACCUCUA
rnacentral:tRNA from 1 species